UGGAAGAAACAGUAAAAAUGUCCAUCUGCUCUACUUUCUUCGUUAGUUAGAAGAGAAAUGAAAAAGUGAUGGGUCCCACCAAUUUCAGUCUCUCUUUCUUAUUUCUUCGAUCAACCAAGCAGCCUAAAUAUCCAACUUCUUUCAUACUUCUCUCGUCUCUUAUUCUCUCUCUUCAUUUUCUAGCACAGCCUAAAAGUUUGAAAGAAAACAAAUUAAACACUGUGGCAGCAGAAGAACAAGGAGCGGAGAAGGUGAAGCUUGACGGCGGCUCACCGAAGCUUACAGCGGCUGGAGCUCCUCCGGCACGGUGGUCGGAGGUGAGAAUUUCCCGAAUGCAAUUUUUUUACAUAUCUGGGUUCGGUUUCUUCUCCUCUUUUCAAAUCUCAAGUUUAUUUUUGAAAACAAACAAGCAAAAUUCGUAGAUCUAAAAAAGAAACUUCGAAAAUCUUGAGUUUAAACAACAAAAUCAACACAAAGCAGUAGAACAAGAUAGGAUUCGGAAUCAGAGGGAGAUUAUCAACCUUCUGGAGUAAAAGAAAUGAAAGAUGGCCUCGGUUUAAAGCUCAGUCACGGCGGUUUAUCACCUCCGGCGCGGUGGCUCUGGUUUUCCGGUGAGAGUUUCUGGCGAGGUGACAAAUUCAGUGUUCUUGAGACUCAAUUUGGGCCUUAAAGGUUCUGAAUUUUUGCUUGUUGGUGUGAAUGAAUGUUACUACAGCCACCCGAAAAUCCUUUAUUCCAGUCCAAUCUCUCACUUUUUUUUAUUGUAAUUGUGAUACCAAAUCAAAUUAAACUUGGGACUGACUUUGUGAAUUUGUUGUUUGAAUUGAGGAUCAAUGAAGUGUGGUUGGUGUUAUUUUGAAAUGUAAAACUAUGGUUGAAUUCCUUUGUUGAGUGAAACCGUGGGAGCUUGUGCAUGAAACCGUGAACUUGGCUGGGAGUCUCCACAUGGGCUUGUAAUUCACCUAUUUCAUGAAGGUCAGAACAAAACAUGUAAAAAACAAACUCAACAAAUAGUCACAUAUGAGAGUUCCUACCCAUCCAGCUCUUGUUUCUUUUCUCUUCAUCUUCGGUAAAUCAAUGCUCUUUGUUUAACAAUGGCUUAUGUUCAUUUUUCGUUGCAUUCUUUAUUAUCAAUCUCAUUUAAUCUAACAUACUACAUGUUAACAGAAUACAUGCCAUUGAGUCAAAAUAAUUUUUUCUUACUUUGAUAUGAUGAGAAAGCAAGAGUUUAAGUUAGUUUUGAUAACAUUUGGUUUCCAAGUCAGAGUGAGGUGUGACUAACUUAAACUCUUGCUUUCUCAUCAUAUCAAAGUAAGAAAAAAUUAUUUUGACUCAAUGGCAUGUAUUCUGUUAACACGUAGUAUGUUAGAUUAAAUGAGAUUGACAAUAAAGAAUGCAACGGAGAAUGAACAUAAGCCAUUGUUUAACAAAGAGCACCGAUUUACCGAAGAUGAAGAGAAAAGAAACAAGAGCUGGAUGUGUAGGAACUCUCAUAUGUGACUAUUUGUUGAGUUUGUUUUUUACAUGUUUUAUUCUAAUCUUCAUGAAAUAGGUGAAUUACAAGCCCUCCCACGGUUUCACUCAACAAAGGAAUUCAACCAUAGUUUUACAUUUCAAAAUAACACCAACCACACUUCAUUGAUCCUCAAUUCAAACAAAGAUGUGGGAUUUAGCAAUUGUUUCAAUUCGCUUAACUUUAUUAGAGACAUUCAUCAAUUAUUUCAGUUAGAUCAUAAAUUUUAGUUUUAUAAACACUAAAACUGGUUUGAAAUAAAAAGAUGUGGGAUUUUUUUGA